rnacentral:rRNA from 1 species
CCUACGGGUGGCUGCAGUCGGGAAUAUUGCGCAAUGGAGGAAACUCUGACGCAGUGACGCCGCGUGCAGGAAGAAGGUUUUCGGAUUGUAAACUGCUUUAGACAGGGAAGAAAAAAGACAGUACCUGUAGAAUAAGCUCCGGUUAACUACGUGCCAGCAGCCGCGGUAAUCCGUAGGGCGCAAGCGUUAUCCGGAUUUAUUGGGUGUAAAGGGUGCGUAGACGGAGUAUCAAGUUAGUUGUGAAAUCCCUCGGCUUAACUGAGGAACUGCAACUAAAACUGCUUGCCUUGAGUGCUGGAGAGGAAGGUGGAAUUCCUGGUGUAGCGGUGAAAUGCGUAGAUAUUAGGAGGAACACCAGUGGCGAAGGCGACUUUCUGGACAGUAACUGACGUUGAGGCACGAAAGUGUGGGGAGCAAACAGGAUUAGAUACCCUGGUAGUC